AACACAUUGAACAGAUUUUCUGUAGCAGAAGCCAUACUAGGAACCAGGCAGUCAAUGGCACUGUGAAUUAUGGGGUGCAAAAGAAUCAGCAGCAGUUCCAAAUGAGAAAAUUCUGACUUACUGGGCAUUCUGUAGCCACAGAAACCUGUUUUCCAUAUGCCUUUGAUAAUUUUGAGGUAACUUGAGAGCUUCUGAAGGUAUGUCUACCAUCAUCCAAACAUCAAAACUCAGUUAGACAGCAUUGAACUAGAAGAGAAAAUAGAAUUUGGAAGGUAUUUGUGGAAGAGGAAAGUGGAGAAUGAAGAACAGGAAACAGCAAGUGAAAGGAAAAAAGAAGCUUCUCUUCCCAUAAACAUUGAAGACAGAAAUGGGGAAAUCUUCCAUCCCAUAAGAGAUGUAAACAGAUAG
rnacentral:lncRNA from 1 species